UUGAACGCUGGCGGUAUGCUUUACACAUGCAAGUCGAACGGGCUAUGGGGCUUGCUCCAUAGUUAGUGGCGAACGGGUGAGUAAUAUAUCGGAACAUAUCCGGAAGUGGGGGAUAACGUAGCGAAAGUUACGCUAAUACCGCAUAUGCCCUGAGGGGGAAAGUGGGGGAUCGCAAGACCUCACGUUAUUCGAGCGGCCGACGUCUGAUUAGCUAGUUGGUGGGGUAAAGGCUCACCAAGGCGACGAUCAGUAGCGGGUCUGAGAGGAUGAUCCGUCACACUGGAACUGAGACACGGUCCAGACUCCUACGGGAGGCAGCAGUGGGGAAUUUUGGACAAUGGGGGCAACCCUGAUCCAGCCAUUCCGCGUGAGUGAAGAAGGCCUUCGGGUUGUAAAGCUCUUUCAGCCGGAACGAAACGGUACGCUCUAACAUAGCGUGCUAAUGACGGUACCGGCAGAAGAAGCACCGGCUAACUACGUG
rnacentral:rRNA from 1 species